rnacentral:rRNA from 1 species
AACGAACGCUGGCGGCAGGCUUAACACAUGCAAGUCGAGCGCCCCGCAAGGGGAGCGGCAGACGGGUGAGUAACGCGUGGGAAUCUACCCAUCUCUACGGAAUAACGCAUGGAAACGUGUGCUAAUACCGUAUACGUCCUUCGGGCGAAAGAUUUAUCGGAGAUGGAUGAGCCCGCGUGGGAUUAGCUAGUUGGUGGGGUAAAGGCCUACCAAGGCGACGAUCCAUAGCUGGUCUGAGAGGAUGAUCAGCCACACUGGGACUGAGACACGGCCCAGACUCCUACGGGAGGCAGCAGUGGGGAAUAUUGGACAAUGGGCGCAAGCCUGAUCCAGUCAUGCCGCGUGAGUGAUGAAGGCCCUAGGGUUGUAAAGCUCUUUCACCGGUGAAGAUAAUGACGGUAACCGGAGAAGAAGCCCCGGCUAACUUCGUGCCAGCAGCCGCCGUAAGAC